GUGGGGAAUCUUCCGCAAUGGACGAAAGUCUGACGGAGCGACGCCGCGUGAGUGAAGAAGGCCUUCGGGUCGUAAAGCUCUGUCAUCAGGGACGAACGGCCGGUGGAGUGGAAAGCCACCGGAUUGACGGUACCUGAGAAGGAAGCCACGGCUAACUACGUGCCAGCAGCCGCGGUAAUACGUAGGUGGCAAGCGUUGUCCGGAAUUAUUGGGCGUAAAGCGCGCGCAGGUGGGAUCUUAAGUCCAUUUUUAAAGUUCGGAGCUCAACUCCGUGAUGGGAUGGAAACUGGGAUUCUUGAGUACCGGAGAGGAAAGCGGAAUUCCCCGUGUAGCGGUGAAAUGCGUAGAUAUUAGGAGGAACACCAGUGGCGAAAGCGGCUUUCUGGACGACAACUGACGCUGAGGCGCGAAAGCCAGGGGAGCAAACGGGAUUAGAAACCCGUGUAGUCC
rnacentral:rRNA from 1 species